rnacentral:rRNA from 1 species
AGAACGAACGCUGGCGGCAGGCUUAACACAUGCAAGUCGAACGCUCGUAGCAAUACGGGAGUGGCAGACGGGUGAGUAACGCGUGGGAACAUACCCUCCGGUUCGGAAUAGCUCAGGGAAACUUGGAUUAAUACCGGAUACGGCCGAGAGGCGAAAGAUUUAUCUCCGGAGGAUUGGCCCGCGUUCGAUUAGCUAGUUGGUGAGGUAACGGCUCACCAAGGCGAUGAUCGAUAGCUGGUCUGAGAGGAUGAUCAGCCACAUUGGGACUGAGACACGGCCCAAACUCCUACGGGAGGCAGCAGUGGGGAAUAUUGGACAAUGGGCGCAAGCCUGAUCCAGCCAUGCCGCGUGAGUGAUGACGGCCUUAGGGUUGUAAAGCUCUUUCGCUCGGGACGAUAAUGACGGUACCGAGAUAAGAAGCCCCGGCUAACUUCGCGCCAGCAGCCGC